UACGUAGGGGGCAAGCGUUGUCCGGAUUUAUUGGGCGUAAAGAGCGUGUAGGCGGUUAGGUAGGUCCGUUGUGAAAACUCGAGGCUCAACCUCGAGACGCCGAUGGAAACCAUCUGACUAGAGUCCGGAAGAGGAGAGUGGAAUUCCUGGUGUAGCGGUGAGAUGCGCAGAUAUCAGGAAGAACACCCGUGGCUAAGGCGGCUCUCUAGUACGUGACUGACGCUGAGACGCGAAAGCGUGGGGAGCGAACAGG
rnacentral:rRNA from 1 species